rnacentral:rRNA from 1 species
AGUGAACGCUGGCGGUAGGCCUAACACAUGCAAGUCGAACGGCAGCACAGUAAGAGCUUGCUCUUACGGGUGGCGAGUGGCGGACGGGUGAGGAAUACAUCGGAAUCUACUUUUUCGUGGGGGAUAACGUAGGGAAACUUACGCUAAUACCUCAUACGACCUACGGGUGAAAGCAGGGGAUCUUCGGACUUUGCGCGAUUGAAUGAGCCGAUGUCGGAUUAGCUAGUUGGCGGGGUAAAGGCCCACCAAGGCGACGAUCCGUAGCUGGUCUGAGAGGAUGAUCAGCCACACUGGAACUGAGACACGGUCCAGACUCCUACGGGAGGCAGCAGUGGGGAAUAUUGGACAAUGGGCGCAAGCCUGAUCCAGCCAUACCGCGUGGGUGAAGAAGGCCUUCGGGUUGUAAAGCCCUUUUGUUGGGAAAGAAAAGCAGCAGGUUAAUACCCCGCUGUUCUGACGGUACCCAAAGAAUAAGCACCGGCUAACUUCGUG